GACGAACGCUGGCGGCGGCGCCUAACACAUGCAAGUCGAACGAGAGAGAGGAAGGCUUGGCUUACCGUUAAUCGAGUGGCGAACGGGUGAGUAACGCGUGAGGAACCUGCCUCAAAGAGGGGGACAACAGUUGGAAACGACUGCUAAUACCGCAUAAGCCCACAGCUCGGCAUCGAGCAGAGGGAAAAGGAGUGAUCCGCUUUGAGAUGGCCUCGCGUCCGAUUAGCUAGUUGGUGAGGUAACGGCCCACCAAGGCAAUGAUGGGUAGCCGGCCUGAGAGGGUGAACGGCCACAAGGGGACUGAGACACGGCCCUU
rnacentral:rRNA from 1 species